rnacentral:rRNA from 1 species
UACGAAGGGGGCUAGCGUUGUUCGGAUUCAUUGGGCGUAAAGGGUGCGUAGGCGGCGCGGUAAGUCGGGUGUGAAAUCUCGGAGCUUAACUCCGAAACUGCAUUCGAUACUGCCGUGCUUGAGGACUGGAGAGGAGACUGGAAUUUACGGUGUAGCGGUGAAAUGCGUAGAUAUCGAGAGGAACACCUGCGGCGAAGGCGGGUUGCUGGGCUGACACUGACGCUGAUGCGCGAAAGCUAGGGGAGCGAACGGG